GAAGUAUUUGAGAUGGAAAAAAUACAAUAUGUGAAAAUGAUGGAAGAAUGUGGGCAAGAAAAUGAGCAAGAUGGGAAAACUGUAGAAAAUCAUGAACACGGGAAAAGUUCGGCAGAACAUGAAAACGAAAAUCAACAGAACUGCAAAAUGAUAGAAGACUGUGGGAUUGAAAAAAUACAAUAUGGGAACAUCAUGGAGGAACAUGAAAGUGAAAACAAACAAGAUGGGAUGAUUGAAAACCAACAGGACAUACAGAACCAAGAUAAGGAACGAAUGUCACAUGUGGAUGUAGAUAAAGCAGUGAACGUGACUGUGCUCAGGAAGGAGCAAUCAUACACAGAGAUUAUAAAGAGGGAUGGGACAACAGAAGUACGUUUCAAAAAUGAGAAGAAACCUUUAAUCCAGACAGAGGAGGCUGACACAGUUUUUUCCCAGCAUGCACUCUUUCCAGAAUCGCAUGCUACAGAGCCAUCUCCAGUUAAUGAAGCAUGUAUUCCUGAAAGUAUUUCAACCACUCAAGAUAAAAACGAGUUACAGAUGUGCUCAACUCGUACCUCAUCUCAAAUAAACUUACCAACCAUUCAGGUCGAGUCAGAUCUUUCUAGUUUGAGCAAUCAAAGCGAUUCAGACAUAAAAGAGAAGACUGAAUCUAUUGACUCUCAAGCUUCCUCAGAGAUCUCCAAGAACAGCCCAGAUGCCACAUCAGCAGAACAGACUCCUGCAGUGAAGGAUGAACAACAGACAGAUGCAGAAAUGCUUCAAGAGGAUAAGAUUGUGGACGGCAGCAAUGAUUUGGCUGAGGGGAUUGAUGCUGAGUCCAAGACAUCACCUUUAUCUGAGAAUCAAGCCAGGACUGGACAAUCAGAUGAGGGGGAGGGGCUUGUACCUGUCAGUCAUUUCCCCGAAGACACAGAUUCUGCAGUGGACCUAAAAUAUUGUAUUACUCAUCAGCUGGAUCCGACUAAUGACAUAAGUGAUGUUGAAGAGGGAGAAGAGGCUAUAUCACUCCUAGCCAGUGACACAGAUGUGGAGCAAAACUUAAAAUGUGAUUCUGACUCUGAUCAAGUAAAUAAAGACAUUGAACAUGAAAUUCUGCAGAACUGCGAAACCAUCGCGGAAACACCCAACGACAGGAGGAAUGAUAAGACAGCCGAAGAAAAAUGAAGAACAUAAUUGGAGGCAUCAUGGGAACUCUGCAGCAAUCAUAGAGGAGCCCAUUUGGAGAAAUAUGACCAAUAGAUGUUUCUCUUAACCAAUCACUGAAGGUCUUUCUCCAGAUUAUUCUCAUAUGUGCCCAAUAAUGCAAUAUAUGUAAGUAGCACACGUUCAGGACUGUGUCCACAAAUGCACUCAAUAUACAAUGUGUAUUAUAACGUGAAUAUGUAUAUAUAUUUAUAUUUUUAAAUCUUAAGAAUAUAAAAGAGAAAAAUGUUAUGAUGUAUAAUAAAGAAGCUGUUUUUCUCAAAUCAUGCUGGGGAACAUAAUCAUCAUCACACACCAAAUACUGAGACAUCAUAAAUUCAUGUUCAUUUUUUUUCUGUUCAGCUGUUCACUUAAACUGUUAUAUUUAACCAAGAUUGCACUAUAUUAUAAAAGAAGCAUUUUCACAAGUGGACUCAGACUUCUGAACCCCACUGUUGGUUAUGUAUAGUUACAGAGCAUAUUUAUUAUUAAUUUUUCCUCUCAAGCAAAAUAAACUUGCUAGAAAUGUUGUUACUGUAUAAUGGUUCUUACUUUCCAAUAAAGAUUUCUCUGCAACCAUCUGACAAAAUAGUAAAUAUGGCGUUGCAGGCUAUUCAUGUGACUUAUUUGACUGUAUUUACAAUUUUAGAUGGAUAUCUCAUCUUGAAAGAAUAUGCUAAAUGAAUCAGUUUGCCGAGUCAUUUUGUCCAUACG
ensembl:lncRNA